rnacentral:piRNA from 1 species
UGGGAAUUGGUUCUCUCCUGCCACCUUGUA